ensembl:rRNA 5S_rRNA 5S ribosomal RNA
CUGAACGCGCCGGAUCUCAUCUGAUCUCGGAAGUCAGGCAG